rnacentral:rRNA from 1 species
CCUACGGGAGGCAGCAGUGGGGAAUAUUGGACAAUGGGGGCAACCCUGAUCCAGCCAUGCCGCGUGUGUGAAGAAGGCCCUCGGGUUGUAAAGCACUUUCAGUGAGGAAGAACGCCUGGUGGUUAAUACCCAUCAGGAAAGACAUCACUCACAGAAGAAGCACCGGCUAACUCCGUGCCAGCAGCCGCGGUAAUACGGAGGGUGCGAGCGUUAAUCGGAAUUACUGGGCGUAAAGCGCGCGUAGGUGGCUUGAUAAGCCGGUUGUGAAAGCCCCGGGCUCAACCUGGGAACGGCAUCCGGAGCUGUCAAGCUAGAGUGCAGGAGAGGAAGGUGGAAUUCCCGGUGUAGCGGUGAAAUGCGUAGAGAUCGGGAGGAAUACCAGUGGCGAAGGCGGCCUUCUGGACUGACACUGACACUGAGGUGCGAAAGCGUGGGUAGCAAACAGGAUUAGAUACCCCGGUAGUC